rnacentral:lncRNA from 1 species
CAUAUACAUACCGAACCACCUCCCUCUCCACACCUACUGCUUCGAGAACAUCUCCCAGUUCCAUGACCGCCCUUGCCUCAUCAACGGCAACACCGGCCAGACUUUCACCUACGCCGACGUCGAGCUCACCUCCCGCCGUGUCGCCGCCGGUCUCGACAAGCUCGGCAUUCAGCAAGGCGACGUCGUCAUGCUCCUCCUCCAAAACUGCCCCGAGUUCGCCUUCGCGUUCCUCGGCGCCUCCUACAUCGGAGCCAUCAUCACCACCGCGAACCCUUUCUACACUCCGGCCGAGGUCGCCAAACAAGCCACCGCCUCAAAAGCCAAGCUCAUCAUAACUCAAACAGCCUACGUCGAAAAGGUGAAGGACUUUGCCAAACUCAACAACGUGAAAGUCAUGUCCGUGGACGAGGCUUCCUCGUGUGAUAAGGAUGUGUUGCAUUUCUCCGAGCUGACGUCGGCUGACGAGAGCGACAUCCCGGCGGUGAAGAUCAACCCUGACGACGUGGUGGCGCUGCC